rnacentral:rRNA from 1 species
AACGAACGCUGGCGGCAUGCCUAACACAUGCAAGUCGAACGAGACCUUCGGGUCUAGUGGCGCACGGGUGCGUAACGCGUGGGAACCUGCCUUUAGGUUCGGAAUAACUCCCCGAAAGGGGUGCUAAUACCGGAUAGUGUCUUCGGACCAAAGAUUUAUCGCCUUUAGAUGGGCCCGCGUAAGAUUAGGUAGUUGGUGGGGUAAAGGCCUACCAAGCCGACGAUCUUUGGCUGGUCUGAGAGGAUGAUCAGCCACACUGGGACUGAGACACGGCCCAGACUCCUACGGGAGGCAGCAGUGGGGAAUAUUGGACAAUGGGCGAAAGCCUGAUCCAGCAAUGCCGCGUGAGUGAUGAAGGCCUUAGGGUUGUAAAGCUCUUUUACCAGGGAUGAUAAUGACAGUACCUGGAGAAUAAGCUCCGGCUAACUCCGUACCAGCCGCCGCAGUAA